rnacentral:rRNA from 1 species
GACGAACGCUGGCGGCGUGCUUAACACAUGCAAGUCGAACGGAAAGGCCCUGCUUGCAGGGUACUCGAGUGGCGAACGGGUGAGUAACACGUGGGUGAUCUGCCCUGCACUUCGGGAUAAGCCUGGGAAACUGGGUCUAAUACCGGAUAGGAGCCAUUUUUAGUGUGAUGGUUGGAAAGUUUUUUCGGUGUAGGAUGAGCUCGCGGCCUAUCAGCUUGUUGGUGGGGUAAUGGCCUACCAAGGCGGCGACGGGUAGCCGGCCUGAGAGGGUGGACGGCCACAUUGGGACUGAGAUACGGCCCAGACUCCUACGGGAGGCAGCAGUGGGGAAUAGUGCACAAUGGGCGCAAGCCUGAUGCAGCGACGCCGCGUGGGGGAUGACGGCCUUCGGGUUGUAAACUCCUUUCGCUAGGGACGAAGCUUUUUGUGACGGUACCUAGAUAAGAAGCACCGGCUAACUAC